GAUGAACGCUGGCGGCGUGCCUAAUACAUGCAAGUCGAGCGAAAAGACGAGGAGCUUGCUCCUUUGACGUUAGCGGCGGACGGGUGAGUAACACGUGGAUAACCUACCUAUAAGACUGGGAUAACUUCGGGAAACCGGAGCUAAUACCGGAUAAUAUAUUGAACCGCAUGGUUGGAUAGUGAGAGACGGUUUUUCUGUCACUUCUAGAUGGAUCCCCGCCGCAUUAGCUGGUUGGUAAGGUAACGGCUUACCAAGGCAACGAUGCGUAGCCGACCUGAGAGGGUGAUCGGCCACACUGGAACUGAGACACGGUCCAGACUCCUACGGGAGGCAGCAGUAGGGAAUCUUCCGCAAUGGGCGAAAGCCUGACGGAGCAACGCCGCGUGUGUGAUGAAGGUCUUCGGAUCGUAAAACUCUGUUAGUGGGGAAGAACAAAUUUGUAUGUAACUAUGCACUUAUUGACGGUACCUGAUCAAAAAGCCACGGCUAACUACGUG
rnacentral:rRNA from 1 species